UAUUUAAGACAUAAGGCCAUGGAUGUCAUUCCGUAUGCACCAAAGGACAUGCUUGUCACCCUUCUUUUUGUAUGUAAGUUGUAUGAAGGUCUUGCCUCCUCUUUGUUCAACCUAACACGAAUUUCACAAAGGAAAUCUACAUAUCAUGUCCCUCAAUAUGUAACAUGCCAGAGUUCGACUUUGGUUAAAACUCAUAAAAAAAACUCCAAUCCAAUUUGGACAUCUUGUUUUCUGAACCUCUCAUUCUAUGUAGACAAAUUUGGCCCUACAUAUGUUGAGUAACCAAUUUGAUUAUAACUGCUAUAUAACCAACCUACCCCUUAGUGAAGCAUCUUGUAACUUUCGGACUCGGGGUGGGGUGCCACCGAUGUUGCAACUUACAUUGACAAAGACUGUUUCAUCUAAGAAUCAUCCACCUGCUUGAUGGUUAGAAUGUUCAUAAUGGCAGAGCAUUACCCAGGUGCAAAACUGAUGGCUGACCUGGACAAAUAAAACAGACGAUGCUUCAUCUCAAUCCCUAGAAACUAGUUUUGUGAGAUGCAUGCAAGUAGUUUCAAUAUACAGUAAAAAACUAAACAUUUGAAUACAGCACCCGAAGAUGCAUAAGCACACAAUGACAUUAUAUAUCUGAUGUCAAGGAUUAUACAUCUAAUAUCAUGGACAUGAGUAAAUUCUGAUACCAAUAAAUCUGGAUGAUAUCAAAGUUGGGUUUCAUAUCUGAGCAAUUUGUUUUUAAUUAUUUGCGGCAAAAGAUGCCCUAAUUCAAAGAUUAAAUUCAGCAUAAACUCUGUAAAAUGCAUGGGAAAUAAAAUUCACAGUUCAGCCUUUUCGGAUCCUAUAAUUAUUAACUGAAACAUCUAUAGCCAGAUUUGCCAUACAAGGUAUUUUGGCGAUUCACCCCUCAACACACAAACAUGGAAAAAGAAGCACACAACUCAAAUCACAUGACUUUUACUUCGGAUAAGAUAUUACUGCUAUUGAUCUUUCUAUGCAAGAGAGGUGCAUAGAGUAGAGGCUGUCAUCUAUCAAAUACCAUGAUAUCUGCAUCAGAAUAACAUUGUAGUGCAUAUGAACAAAAAGGGAGUAAUAGCACAUGAAGGGAAUGGAAUGCACAACAAUGUUAAUUAUAAAACUUAACCCCAAAAGGAAAAAACAAAACAAUAGGCAUGGGCUUGGAAAGAUGACGCGAUAUCCACUAAAUCCCAAAAGAAAAUCUUGCCAUCUUCAGAUCCACUAGUGACAUAGGCGUCGGUGUUUGUGAGGCAACAAUCCAUCUUGUAGGACUGCCCAAAAGGAAAUAAGACGAUAGCAUGAUGAUAACUUGUAAGUCAUUGUAGAAACGAUACCUAAAAGGAGUAGAAAUGAGAAUGACAUGUAUUAGAAAAAUAUGAGAUGAAUGAUCAGAUACUAAAAUGGUUUGCAUAUAAAAAACCUACAUCUAUUAAGAGACAUUUCAUACAACAUUGCUCCCUAGGACACAAAGUAUGUCAUUCAUUAACAUUAGGAUAAUAGUAUGCAAUUAAUAAUAUAUCAUUCACAACUGGAACAAUUUGACAAUACCAUAAAUGGAAGAGUAAACAUUUACAUUGAUCCUCUCCAUAAUGAACUGAAAAUAAGCAGUAUAUAUUGGGAUUCCGAGAAAAAUAGAAAAGUUCAAGUCAACAAUUUGGUAUAUGUUAACAGUCAGUGAUGAAUAAUAAUGACUGGUAAUAUGGACUUCAGGAAAGAAAGAUAUCCCAACUGCAUCAUGCAGAACAUAAUUGAAACAAAAAAGAAGCGUAUGAAAUAUCCAAGACAUAAUUGAAAAAAAUCAGCUAUAACAAACAAAAAAUCUGACUACAGACUUGGAGCCCCAACAAAUCUAACAUUGCAAGUAUGGCCUUUAUAUUCUUGAAGGAGUUCUCUAGUUGACCUCAGACAAAGACAUUGGAAAUAAGAAACAAGUACCUCACAGUUUGUCUUCACUAUUUAAAAUGGAAAAUCACUGAAAAUAUUUAUUUAUAAAGAAGGUGGAGUGCGGAAUCCAAGCAACUUGCUACUACGCACUUACUGUCAUUUGAAGUCAAUAUGCAGUUCACAGGCUGCCCCAACUCAUCAACUUCCCAGGUUAAUAACAACAAGAGGCCCUAGAAAUGAAUCGAAGAGAAAAGAUAUCAAAAUUUCAAAUGAAAGGAGAAAAGCAAUUAUAAAUGAAAAGAGAAAAGCAACACAUAUAUCAGCUAAGGGACUCUGGGGCUCUCACUGGGCCAAGGGUCACUUACCUACCAACAUGAAUGUCAAAAGUGAAAACGGUCCCAUCCACACUCUCCAGCCAGAAUUUCAGUGUUUGUCAAACAAAUAGAAUUACACAUUCUGAAGAAGUGUCUAUUGCCCGGGGCAUCAAAUGUAAUUAUAAUUUAGAAAUUUUGGAGCAAUUCAAAACCCAAGCAUGCUAAUUUUAUGGUAUCGACCAAACAAAAAGAAUGACACGUAAAGUUGCUCAAAACAAAGUAUUCA
rnacentral:lncRNA from 1 species